GCCUGGUGCAAAUCCAGCUUUACCACCUCGUUAUAGGUGAUUGAGGUAAAGUAAGUGUGAUAAACCGAAUGAAAUAGCGUCGCAAAAGAGAUUAGAAAGGGAUUGGCGCUCAUUUCGUAGAUAUGCUCGUGCCACGCCAUAUCCACUUCAAUCCAGCGUUCACGCUUAAAAUGCUUUUUCAGCGCGACCAUCUCUUCCAUUAAGGCAUUAAGCCGCGCUUUCUGCUCCGGUGUGCCAAGAGUCGCCGCCAGCAGGCAGGCUUGCGGCUCCAGGCUAAUACGCAUCACCAGAAAAUGCUCUACCACCUGAUGAAAAUUUUCUUCCGUCAUCCACCAGGUCAGCAGCUCUUGAUCCAGAAAGUUCCAGUUUCCCUGCGGCAUCACCCGCGUACCAAUGCGCGGACGGGGGAGCACCAUACCUUUAGCCGUCAACGUUUUCACCGCUUCGCGAACUGCCGUUCGACUUACGCCGUACUGCUCGCCCAGUUCUAUUUCGCCGGGAAGAAUCGUACCGGGGGCGUAGUCACCCUUUAAUAUCCGCUGCGCCAGCUUUUCAGCCAGAACAUAGGAUAGAUUUUUCUGUGCGGCUAAUUGUUGUGCGCUUAAAGGCAUGAAUGUUCUUCCUUUCUCUUUCGUUUGGUUAUUAGUAUGCCACCUGGAAGUGUGAUUGCAGUUGCAAUAACGGCAAUUUGCUUAUUUUAUGGCACGUUAAGCACGCCAUUGAUGAAAAAAGAGACACUCAGAAAAUUAUUUUAAAUU
rnacentral:rRNA from 1 species